ensembl:lncRNA
CUUGGAAUAGUCCAUUGCCCAUGUCCUUGGAAUGUAAUGAAUAUGCAUACAUUAGGCCUUUAAAUAUGUAGUUGCUGCUUCUCUCAGUGUGCAUGUUCAGUGGGAGCGACUCCCAUGCACCCAGUGCUGUAAUAAAGGGAAUACCUGCUUGACAUAACCCAUUGGCAUAUCAAGUUACUCGUUUUCUCAGCUUCAACAUGGACCUAGAAGUAUCUUCCAAAGAAUACCCCGCAAGUCAUCUGCGAGACUUUUUCCCUCUCACACAAUGUUAAAAAGCAACUUGAAAAAAAAUUUGGCUGCAAGUGUUGUUCAGUUGCAUCAGUGCCACUAUGACUUCUCCUCUUCAUGUGAAUAGAAGUCUCAAGUACUUCUCCUGAUUGCCAUGAUGAAUCAAGGUUUACUAAGAGAAGCCUUGUAAUGAGGUCAGCCUGCUUCCUCAGCAUAGGUGGCAAAAUCCCAUCAGGGGGAGAAAGAGUUCUGUCACACUUGAAACCACAAGAGUUCUAUUCCCCUCUCUUUGGGUCCUGAAUUUCACCACUUUCUGAACACAGCAGUCAAAUGUGCCUUUGACCUUCACAUGGAAAGGUAUUGGAACAGGUUACCCAGAGAUGCUGUGGGUUCUCCAUCUCUGGGGGCAUUCAGGGCUAGGUUGGAUGGGGCUCUGGGCAGGCCUGAUCAGGUGGGUGGCAGCUUUGCCCAUAGCAGGGAUGGGGUGGAACUGGAUAAUCUUUAAGGUUGCUUCUAGUCUAAGGCAUGCUGUGAUUCUUUUUGAUUCCACUAUCAGUGAGUCCCUUCUUCUUGUUCCAGCAGAGCACUUCUCCUUGUUGGCUUCUUUUUCAAUUGGACUAGGAAGCUAUUUUCAGCACUACCCAGCUUCAUCGUUUAUGGAUGUGUUUUUUUUUUUAUUCUCCAGAAAACAUCAUAAUGGUUGAACUCCCUCAUGAAUACUAGAGUCUGCGAAUGUGAUGCUGCUUCUAUCUGUUUUUAGAAGGCCUUGAACAAUUUUUCUUCCUACUCAUUUUUUCUUCAGCCUAAUAUCUAGAGAUUUUCAAGUUUGUAUCUUCCAGAUUUGUCAAUCAUUCAACUUCUCAUUGAUAAGUUUUGAAAUAAAGAUGCCUUAAGGGACUUGUUUUACCCUUAUAUAACAGGAAUUUUGUAUCUGUUUUAAUGUCUCAUUUGUCAGAACCAAUGCUGUGUUGUUUGUAACUCACUGGUAUGAUCAGUCUGACUUAGAUUAAAC